GUUUGAUCCUGGCUCAGAGCGAACGUUAGCGGCGCGCCUAACACAUGCAAGUCGCACGAGAAAGGGGUCAACCCCCGGUACAGUGGCGCACGGGUGAGUAACACGUGGGUGAUCUGCCCAGAAGAAGGGGAUAACCUCUCGAAAGGGGGGCUAAUACCGCAUAGGACCACCGGGGCUUUGGCUCUGUGGUGAAAGGGGGCCUCUGUUUACAAGCUCCUGCUUCCCCUGGAUGAGCCCGCGUCCCAUCAGCUAGUUGGUAGGGUAAUGGCCUACCAAGGCUACGACGGGUAGCUGGUCUAAGAGGAUGGCCAGCCACACUGGAACUGAGACACGGUCCAGACUCCUACGGGAGGCAGCAGUGGGGAAUCUUGCGCAAUGGGCGAAAGCCUGACGCAGCGACGCCGCGUGGGUGCGAAGGCCUCGGUGUAAG
rnacentral:rRNA from 1 species